rnacentral:rRNA from 1 species
GACGAACGCUGGCGGCGUGCUUAACACAUGCAAGUCGAACGAUGAAGCCGGAGCUUGCUCUGGUGAAUUAGUGGCGAACGGGUGAGUAACACGUGAGUAACCUGCCCUUGACUCUGGGAUAACUGCGGGAAACUGUAGCUAAUACCGGAUACGACCCUCGGAGGCAUCUCCUGGGGGUGGAAAGAAUUUCGGUCAAGGAUGGACUCGCGGCCUAUCAGCUAGUUGGUGAGGUAAAGGCUCACCAAGGCGACGACGGGUAGCCGGCCUGAGAGGGUGACCGGCCACACUGGGACUGAGACACGGCCCAGAGUCCUACGGGAGGCAGCAGUGGGGAAUAUUGCACAAUGGGCGCAAGCCUGAUGCAGCAACGCUGCGUGAGGGAUGACGGCCUUCGGGUUGUAAACCUCUUUUAGCAGGGAAGAAGCGAAAGUGACGGUACCUGCAGAAAAAGCACCGGCUAACUACGUGCCAGCAGCCGCAGUAA